CGUCCCUUGACGCCACACGCCACGCUUCUGAGAGGCCGCCGACUGGAGGAAGUGGGAUCACUUUGGCCCCUUGCUGAAGUGGAGUUAAAAGCUUCAAGAAGUAAGGAUGUAGGGAUCAUCUUGCAAAGGAUUCAAAGAAAAUACUUCUGUGGGCCUUAGUGUAAUAUAUUCCCUAAAAGUUUAAAACAGAUGGGUGCUACUGAAAUGGGUACACAUCAAGUUGUUAUAAGAAGGCUACUGCUUUGUGUUGUAGUGACUGUGACAAGUACUACAUUGGUCCAACAGAAAGAAAACUACCGACGCGGCAUCAUGAGCAUCAGCUCGUGAGCAGAAGGCACGAGCCACUCUCACUAGUAUCAUCAGUUCAACUAGAUAACAGCCAGAGUCUUGUCUCAAGCAAGAACAAGAAAAGGACGAGAAUUUCUCAAAGCGUGGUUCCACCUACAAAGGCAUCAACAUAGGUCCAGUAUAUGAACCCUUAAGGAGAAGCAACAAUGUCAACAAUCAAAGAAUCGCUAACGGACCUCCCUUGAAGCUAGCCAGUCAGAAUCUCCUACUACUAAACUGUUCAGUGUUUUGAAUUAGCUAACCAGAUCAUGCCAUCUAAUCAAUAUCCACUCAGACCCCAGAGGAGUAUAUAAGCUGGAAUUCUAAAGAAACAACAUCUUCAACUGCGCACUGAUGAUGGCUUCUCAAUUGGAGCCAAAACUUCUGCAAACAUUUUGUCAAGCUCGGCAUCAACCAAACUUCCAAAUCUGCCUAUAAUUCUUAAAUAGCUACUUUAGAUUAAAUUACUGUUUAUUGCUGAUAAAGGAUGCCAUAUUAUAAAAAAGCUUCAUGAGAAUUGUUUUGGGUUGAUUGAUUUAUUUUGUAUUGUGACAGAAAAAUAAUCUUCAUCUACUUGAAAUAGUUCCUUUUGAGAUAGGACAGUCCUUUUUUUCCUUUUUCACAUGUUAUU